UACACUCCUACGGGAGGCAGCAGUGGGGAAUAUUGGACAAUGGGCGCAAGCCUGAUCCAGCCAUGCCGCGUGAGUGAUGAAGGCCCUAGGGUUGUAAAGCUCUUUCACCGGAGAAGAUAAUGACGGUAUCCGGAGAAGAAGCCCCGGCUAACUUCGUGCCAGCAGCCGCGGUAAUACGAAGGGGGCUAGCGUUGUUCGGAAUUACUGGGCGUAAAGCGCACGUAGGCGGAUCGAUCAGUCAGGGGUGAAAUCCCAGGGCUCAACCCUGGAACUGCCUUUGAUACUGUCGAUCUGGAGUAUGGAAGAGGUGAGUGGAAUUCCGAGUGUAGAGGUGAAAUUCGUAGAUAUUCGGAGGAACACCAGUGGCGAAGGCGGCUCACUGGUCCAUUACUGACGCUGAGGUGCGAAAGCGUGGGGAGCAAACAGGAUUAGAUACCCGAGUAGUCCCAUGAU
rnacentral:rRNA from 1 species